ensembl:lncRNA
GGCUUUGACCCUGGGAUUAAAGUAGCUGUGUUGGCACAGAAUUCCCACCAGGUGGCACUGCGAGCCCAGCAAUGGAGUCGGCCUCCCUGCCGUAGACACCGUGAGCGCACAGGUGCCUCUGGGGACCUGGGCGCAGAUUCAGCAUCCCACACCAGCUGGAUUUCCCUUUAGGUUUCCUCUGAACUCUGCCAGCUGGGGCACAGCUGUGUUGGUUCUCGUUUGGAUUAGAGAGGGCCUGUGGUGAUCCCUCUCCUUUUCAUAACCUGGAGUUGGUGCAAGGUCUGUCUCUUUGGCAAUUAUGUGGCCCAGGAUGGGGCUCCUGUGCUAUUGGGUCAUCGCACCCCCUGCUACAAUAGGUGGUAGAUUUCGGGUUGGGAGCUCUCUCUGCUACUGCUUUUGCUGUGGUGCGGGCAGGAGCGUUUACCAAAUGUGGAUUCGAAGGUCCUGCUGGAAAGGUGAGAAGUGAGUUAUAAACCAUGAGACCUGGGUGUUAGGAUGGAGGCAGAAGGAGGAAGGGAAGAAGUGUUUACUGAAUGCCUACUCUGUGGCGGACACUGAGGGGAGCUUUCCCCACGCUAUCUUACAGUAAUCCUGUAAGUUGGCUACUAUUAUUAUCCCCAAUUUAUGGAUGAAGAAACUAAGCCAUGGAAAGAUGAAGGGACUUGCCCAAAGUCGCUAAGCAGGUCAGCUUUGCAGCCCGGAUUCUGUCCCUGCCCAUGCUCCAGGACCAGAUCCCAAAGACCUGGGAAGAAGGGGUACCAAGAGGAGCUUUAAAAUCUGUCAUUUACCAGUGCAGCCAGCACUAAACUCUUCCUUACUUUCUCAGAAUUCUGGUACCUGUAACUAUUCAAGAGAUUAUCCGUUAAAAAAAAAAAAAAAGAAGAAGAGGGGCCUGCAGUAUUAUCACCACGUUCUAGAGGAGGAAACUGAGACUCAGAGGGGCUAUAUACUUGCUCCAGGUUAUGGCCAAUAGGAAGUGGCACAGCUAGGAUUCAGCUAAAGAUCUAUGUGAUUCAGAGCAUCUAUUUUUUUUUAAAAAAAGGCAAAUAUAAUUGGAAUAUGAGAACUCAUCCAUUCAUUCAUUCACUCAACAAACACUGACCAGGCAGCAUCUAAGAACCAGGUGUGGGAGCAGCUGCUUUCACGUCAGAUUAGUCCUAUCUAAAUAUUCCUUAGUCCUCCAGGUUCGUCUUUGUAUCAUCCAUCCUAGAGCAGGGUCCUGCCAUCCUUGGCAUCAAUAAAGGCUAAUUGAAUGGAAUGGAAUGGAGUUGAAUUAAACUGGUUAGAUUCAGCUGGAGCACUCGAAGUGGUCCAGCUCUCUGGACUUUCUGAGUCUCAUGAAACCAAAUGACUGCAACUAUUCAGUUUGACUUAAUAUGGCCAGCACUUGUUGGGUGGCUGCUAUUUUAUUCCUUUACUAUUUAGCUAAUUUUGGACAUACCAUCCAGCCUGUUGCUAAAAUUAGCUUGUACACUGAAAUAUAAAGCUACGCUAAAAUUUAGAGCAAGGGCAGGAGCAUAGGAGCCUUAUACUGGAGGUGGGUGGAGAGGAACCUGACACUCUAGGCUAUGGAAAGGUAGUGCUUUGUUUAGAACAGAGAAGUAUUUGAAGUGUGGUUAUUCAGUUAACUAGCUGUGUGAACUUGGGCAGGCAACAUAGCUUUCUGAAUUCCCGCUUUCCCCUUCGUAGGAUUCAGUCCUCAUCUCAUUGGAUCAUCACCAAUGUCCGCUCCUUGAGGACACAGUCUGAGUGCUGUGUUAUAUUUUCAGUCCGUGGCAGAGGGCCCAGCACCUAGUCGGUGCUCAAUAAACAUUGAAAGAAGGAAAACUGUUCUUCGAAGUAGGGAAGGAGGUCAGCACAGGUUUAUUUGGCCGUAUUGCAUCGGGGCAUUCAUAUUGACACAGCCCUAUCUCUGAUGACUCCUAUUUCCACAUUGAUGGCUUUGGUAUUUUCCUUUGGGUUCCCCAGAAUCAGACCUUGAACCAAGGAUUUGAGUGCAAUCAGUUUAUUGGAAAGUAGAAGGAACAUGGAAGGUGAGGGGGGAAGUGUUAUGAGGAAGAGAAGUCAGCCGCUAAAGGGUGAGUUAACAAGCCAGUUACCAUAGCAGGUGAUUGUUGCUUAAUUCCAUGGAGAAAUUCUAGGAAACAUUAUAAGACAUACAUCUCAGAAUUCCUCCAUUCAAUGGGAGAGGGAGCUAGGGUAUUUAUAGUCAUUGGUUAAAGGCUGCCUACCCAUCCCCUCCUUGGUGUGUAUGUGUGUUAAACGCCAGGCAUUUUCAGCCUGUGCCAUGGGCAGACCAAAUGGGUUCUGCUAGCCUGAGGUAGAUCUUCGAGAAGACAUAGAUGCUGACAUGAAUGUAAAUAGUGAGGGGAUCUGAGGUGGUAUGGGCUGAGCACUGACAGUGUCUCCUACACUUGGGGGCCUUAGCAUCACAUUAUGUUAUACAUUGUACUAUCGUAUUGGUAAUGAUUCUACCAGGUGUCAUUGAAGCUUUUCAGUAGUUAGAUUCCUUCGAUUUCCAGCCCAUAGCCCUUUAGAUAGGAAGAAGAUGGAUAAAUAAAUUCAGGACAGAGAACAUGGUCUUGGUGACUCAUCUGGAGAGUUCUUGGUUUAUUUCAAACUCCACAGAAAUUCACCUAUGACCACCCUGCCUUUUAUAGUGUUUAGGCUCCACAAAUCAGACUACCAUAAUACCAACACCUAGUUCCGUCUAGAGGCGUGACUCUCCAGUAACAGAGAUGGACUCGACUGUAGGACUCCUCUCUCUUGUUCUAAAAGGACCCAUAACCCUAACGGACACACAUCUCCAGUCAUGUCUGUCAUGUGCCAGAUACUGUGUGAAAGUGUAAGAUAUGACUCCUGUCUUCCAGGGGUAACAGAUUAGUUUAGAAAUUCAUGAUACACACAUAAGAGAUAGUUAACCAUGCCAGACUGCAUACUGAAUAUUCCAAAAUGGUGACAGAUACUAACAACAAUGAUUUUCCUAAAGGGAAGAAUCAGUGUUUGCCUAAUUGGAGGGGAUGAAGGAAGGAGAUGGACUUGAGCUAGCCUUUGAAGGAUAAGGGAGGAUUCAGAGAAGCAGAAGGAGGGACAAAAAGGAUCUAGUUGGAGAAGUCACUACAGGAAGAGGUGACAAUGAGUAGGGCAGGCUCAGAGAACUCUGAGAGCUGAAGAAGGCUCAUGCUGGAGAGGAGUGAGAGAGGGAAGGAAUAUGUGAAUCUAAGUCAUGAAGGGCCUUAGAAUUCAGGUUUAAUGUUGUAGGUAAGUGGUUUUAUAAGCAUUUUUCAUGAAGUUUCCUACCCCUCCUCAAAGACAAGAGGAGGAGGGUAAUGAAAGGAGCCGAGGCCAUCUCAGCCAUUCCAACCAGUGCAGCUCUACUUUUUUUCUUUGCAUUUUGGGUUUCCAAAUGAAAAUUCAUUUUAAAAAAGGCUUUUCUGCUUGAAAAAAAAGAACAAAAAAUCACAGUAGUAGUGAUGGGGGAGCCAUUAAAGUUUUAAAUCAAUGGAUGAAUUGUUUAAUUAAGUAGACAGAACAUCGUUGGGCACUUGCACUACCAUAUACUGGGCAGCGGGGGAAGUCCAGAUGAGGGGGGCAGCAGUGUGUGCCAUGGCGCCCAAUGGCAGUGCGCAGCGCAGAUUAGGGGGAGGGGUGGGCUGAUAUUAGCAAGCAUGGAG